rnacentral:rRNA from 1 species
GAUGAACGCUGGCGGCGUGCCUAAUACAUGCAAGUCGAGCGAACAGAUGAGGAGCUUGCUCCUCUGACGUUAGCGGCGGGCGGGUGAGUAACACGUGGAUAACCUACCUAUAAGACUGGGAUAACUUCGGGAAACCGGAGCUAAUACCGGAUAAUAUAUUGAACCGCAUGGUUCAAUAGUGAAAGACGGUUUUGCUGUCACUUAUAGAUGGAUCCGCGCCGCAUUAGCUAGUUGGUAAGGUAACGGCUUACCAAGGCAACGAUGCGUAGCCGACCUGAGAGGGUGAUCGGCCACACUGGAACUGAGACACGGUCCAGACUCCUACGGGAGGCAGCAGUAGGGAAUCUUCCGCAAUGGGCGAAAGCCUGACGGAGCAACGCCGCGUGAGUGAUGAAGGUCUUCGGAUCGUAAAACUCUGUUAUUAGGGAAGAACAUAUGUGUAAGUAACUGUGCACAUCUUGACGGUACCUAAUCAGAAAGCCACGGCUAACUACGUG